UCUGUCUGCCGCAGACAUGAGAGGAUCAUGUUAAGUGUGUUCCGUAUGAGUGACUCUGUUUUCGGGAUAAAUAACUUGCUGAAGUCGACACGACACUGUUUCCCUGGAGGAGAAGAUGAGUGCGUGGGAAAGCAAAGCCGCGGGCCCGGUAUGGAGGAAUUGAGGCAGAGAAGACAGGCGCACAGUCCCUGAAUUAAGGAAGUUUCCGUCUCUUCACAGCUCUGAUGAAAAUGGCCGGCGGAGCGAGGCCUGAUUCCCGCACACAAUGACGCAGUCACUGCACAUUACGCCGAGACUCGCUGAAAGUCCACAUUUGCAGUGCGGGCUAA